AACGAACGCUGGCAGCGUGGAUGAGGCAUGCAAGUCGAACGAGAAUUCCGGGUGUAGCAAUACAUCUGGGAGGACAGUGGCGAAAGGGUGCGUAACACGUGGGCAAUCUGCCUCCGAGUUGGGGAUAACUCCGCGAAAGCGGUGCUAAUACCGAAUGUGGUCUUCCUGGCGCAUGUUGGGGAGAUCAAAGGCGGGGAACCGUAAGGUCCUGUCGCUUGGAGAGGAGCUCGCGUCCUAUCAGCUUGUUGGUGAGGUAACGGCUCACCAAGGCUUACGGGUAGCUGGUCUGAGAGGAUGGUCAGCCACACUGGGACUGAGACACUGCCCAGACUCCUACGGGUGGCUG
rnacentral:rRNA from 1 species